rnacentral:rRNA from 1 species
ACGGGGAGGUCAAGCGGUGGUCAUAAUUAUUGGGCGUAAAGGGAAUGUAGGCGGUUUGAUAAGCUUGGCGUGAAAUACCGCAGCUCAACUGUGGGGUUGCGUUGAGAACUUCUGAACUUGAGUUACGGAGAGGGAGCUAGAAUUCCUGGUGUAGGGGUGGAAUCUGUAGAGCUUAGGAAGAAUACCGAUGGCGAAGGCACGCAUCUGGAAGAUAACUGACGCUGAGGUGCGAAAGUGUGGGGAUCGAACAG